CCUACGGGAGGCAGCAGUGGGGAAUAUUGCACAAUGGGGGAAACCCUGAUGCAGCGACGCCGCGUGAGUGAAGAAGUAAUUCGUUAUGUAAAGUUCUAUCAGCAGGGAAGAAAAUGACGGUACCUGAGUAAGAAGCCCCGGCUAACUACGUGCCAGCAGCCGCGGUAAUACGGAGGGGGCAAGCGUUAUCCGGAUUUACUGGUUGUAACGGGAGCGUAGACGGCAGUGCAAGGCUGGAGUGAAAGGCGGGGGCUCAACCCCCGGACUGCUCUGGAAACUGUACGGCUGGAGUGCAGGAGAGGUAAGUGGAAUUCCUAGUGUAGCGGUGAAAUGCGUAGAUAUUAGGAGGAACACCAGUGGCGAAGGCGGCUUACUGGACUGUAACUGACGUUGAGGCUCGAAAGCGUGGGGAGCAAACAGGAUUAGAUACCCUUGUAGUC
rnacentral:rRNA from 1 species